rnacentral:rRNA from 2 species
AGCAGCCGCGGUAAUUCCAGCUCCAAUAGCGUAUAUUAAAGUUGUUGCAGUUAAAAAGCUCGUAGUUGAAUUUCGGGAUUGACCCAUCGGUCGUGCCUUAAGGGGUAUGAACUGGUGUAGUCAAUUUCUCACCUUCUGGAGAACCGCGAUGUCCUUAAUUGGGUGCCGCGAGGAACCAGGACCUUUACUUUGAAAAAAUUAGAGUGUUUAAAGCAGGCAUUUUUGCUUGAAUACAUUAGCAUGGAAUAAUAAAAUAGGACGGCAUGAUUCUAUUUUGUUGGUUUCUAGGAUCACCGUAAUGAUUAAUAGGGAUAGUUGGGGGCAUUAGUAUUCAAUUGUCAGAGGUGAAAUUCUUGGAUUUAUUGAAGACUAACUACUGCGAAAGCAUUUGCCAAGGAUGUUUUCAUUAAUCAAGAACGAAAGUUAGGGGAUCGAAGACGAUCAGAUACCGUCGUAGUCUUAACCAUAAACUAUGCCGACUAGGAAUCAGACGAUGUUAAUUUUUUAAUGACUCGUUUGGCACCUUACG